GACGAACGCUGGCGGCGUGCCUAAUACAUGCAAGUCGAGCGAAGCGGCGGAUGGGUGAGUAACGCGUUGGUAACCUGCCCUUAAGUCUGGGAUACUAUUUGGAAACAGAUGCUAAUACCGGAUAGUUACGGAUGGCCCUACGAUGCAUGAGCUAGUGGGUAAGGUAACGGCUUACCAAGGCGAUGUGGCAUAGCCGAGUUGAGAGACUGAUAGGCCACAUGGGGACUGAGACACGGCCCAAACUCCUACGGGAGGCAGCAGUAGGGAAUCUGCCACAAGGGACGAAAGUCUGAUGGAGCAACGCCGCGUGAGUGAAGAAGGUUUUCGGAUCGUAAAGCUCUGUUGUUGGUGAAGCGGUAAUCAACCAGAAAGUCACGGCUAACUACGUGCCAGCAGCCGCGGUAAUUC
rnacentral:rRNA from 1 species